rnacentral:rRNA from 1 species
GACGAACGCUGGCGGCGUGCUUAACACAUGCAAGUCGAACGGAAAGGCCCUGCUUUUGUGGGGUGCUCGAGUGGCGAACGGGUGAGUAACACGUGAGUAACCUGCCCUUGACUUUGGGAUAACUUCAGGAAACUGGGGCUAAUACCGGAUAGGAGCUCCUGCUGCAUGGGGGGGGUUGGACAGUUUCGGCGGUUGGGGAUGGACUCGCGGCUUAUCAGCUUGUUGGUGGGGUAGUGGCUUACCAAGGCUUUGACGGAUAGCCGGCCUGAGAGGGUGACCGGCCACAUUGCGCCUGCGAGACGGCCCAGACUCCUACGGGAGGCAGCAGUGGGGAAUAUUGCCCAAUGGGCGGAAGCCUGAUGCAGCAACGCCGCGUGCGGGAUGACGGCCUUCGGGUUGUAAACCGCUUUCGCCUGUGACGAAGCGUGAGUGACGGUAAUGGGUAAAGAAGCACCGGCUAACUACGUG